rnacentral:misc_RNA from 1 species
AAAGACCUGGCCGCGAAUAACUAUGAGAGAUGUCGAUCACACCUGCACAAAGUCUGUUGCUGCAAUUGUUUUUCUACCUGUAUAAAACCUUUAAUGGAAAUGAUAAAGCCUACAUUAAUCCACCCUAACCAAAGUUUCUAUUUUUAUCUCUAAAGGGAGGGGUGGAUGCCAUAGCGACUGAGGCCAACAGGACAAGAUGACCUAAUCAGCUGGUGUCAAGCAUGUGAAGUCAUCGGGUAGUGGAAGGUAAUAUCAACUUCAAUCACACCGCCAGUCGCGAUCGCCGAGAAACAGGUUUGAAAUAUUUCUUCUCACAAAUGUGAGACUAUCUUUUUCUAGAUUACAAGAAUCUUCGAAACGAAAGAUCUUACAUUAUCAUGUCUAGUUGAAAAUGUGUCCUCCUUUCGUACAGUUUGUUCAGAUUAUUGUUUACUAAAUAAUAGCAACAUGCCGACACUGAUUCAAAAUGGCGGACCACCUUGCAGCUUCUGAUAAUGAUAUUACAAACUAAUUAUUUUUCUAAAACACAGAAAGCUAACACUUAAACCAGUUCUUAAAAGAAUUUCCAUCUAAUAUCCCUUACACAGUUUAACUACUUCAAUUUAGGAAUCUGUUUUCAUAUUUUUUGUGCCGAUCAAAUGAAGAAAUCGCGGUUGAACAGAAAGAUAAAAUAUAGUCUUGCUCAUGAAAUUUUACAACAGCUUAAAGUUAAACAAAUCUUUUGGCCUUUAUGAGACAGACAACAAUGCACGUAACAAUCUGCUAUUAUUGUUUCUUCACUUUAUGUUUUGAUUUUUGUAUCUCACCUGUUCAAAUCUCUAUUUGAGCCCGAAACCGUGUGUUAAAUUGUUUUGACUUUUGUUGCUUCUGAGUAUAACUUCAAUAAAAGUGUUAUUCACCACGCUGUUCUGUGCCAUUAUAUUUUUCCAGUUUAUUUAAAGGGUCUCAAAAAUUCUGCCGAGCCAAGUCAAUCACAAUCUCUGUAAUAUGCACACUACAUGGGAGAAAGCUAUCUGAAGUGGCCCCUACAAUAAAUGUUGAAGCGAUUUGGGUCCGCCUACCCUGGAGUGAUCCACGUAUAAAUAAUCGCUUUAGCCGCUACUUGCGGGUAGCAAAUAUACCCAGAUUAACAAGCUGUACAAACGUGCUUCAUGAAAGAAAAAGGUUUUUAAAAUUACUUCGAUGUUUAUAACCUGCAACUAUGUAAAAUUAGCAGUCAUGGGCCCUGUACUGACCGUGCAAGGUGCUAAUCAACAAGUCCAAUUUAUUACACGCUUGUACGGCUGUUGAGCCUUUCAGUUUGCAAACAGUUUAAAAUCAGAGGCACAUCUAAAAACUCUGCGGCUACAUACUAUGUUGCGUAGUUGAGCGUUCAACAGGUCGAAAACUUCGACAAUAAGAAAGCAGACGAAAGCAAAGAUAACCCCGUGACCUGACGGUGGUAGAGGAGCGAGGUGGUGAAAGACUGUCUUAUCUCAGGGUCACCUUUACUCAUUUCCCGUGGUACCUGUCUCAUAAACCUGUAGUACCCACCCCACAACUGUCACUAGGCUGUCCACUUUCUCCUAGCUACAAUCAGUAUAUUUACUAUAAACAGCUGGUCAAUGAUCAUCAAUGAUCAUCAAUCACCAUCAAUCGUCAUCGUCAUUAAUCAUCGUCAGCGUCAUUAGUACUGACCGUACUAAGAAGGCCUGUCAUUGGAGUCAAUCUUGAGCACCUCUUAAGUUGGUCCCCCAUCUGGCAUCAUGACCUGUCUCCCUCCAAUGUUUCCUUUCCUACUACCACGUCCUCUUUCCACCUACUCCUGUAAUACUGUCUUCGAUAAGUCAUGCCGAGCGACGUGGCCGAGCCAAACCCCCUUUCGACGCUUGAUGGUUGCGAGUAGAUGCUCCGGGAGGCCCACCAGAGUGGCGACCGCACAGCGUAUGAAAUAAUUUGUUUUGUAUUCCUUCAAACCAGUCUCAUGAAGGAUCCAGUUCACUAUUAAACCGACCUUCAACAGCCGAGUUCUCAUCGAAAAGCAACGGCAUCACGGGUAAGAUCUUAUUGUAGAAAUCGUGUUUAAAAGUAUAAAUAAAAGACCGUCCUUGGCAACAAAGGUGCAUGUGUAUGAAUUGAUGGCUCACCAUGGCGUUGAACACCGUACGAAGACUUUGAAGAAUAAUAUUUGACAAAAUGUCGUGUCGCUCCCGAUGACAUGGCCAGACCAGACCAGUUUCACUGUUGAAAGUAGUUUCUGGUGUCCUACGAGUGUAGCGUCCGUGCUUCGUACAAAAUCGUUGGUUUGAUAUUCUCUGUACGAGAGAUACGGAGCAGCCUCCUCUUGCACUUGUUCUCGAGUGUCUGAAUUCUCCGCCUUGGCAAUCAACAUCCACAUUUCACAUCUGUAAAGCAGUAUCGAAACUGUGAGCGAAAGGAAGAACGAGAACUGCGGGCUUACACACUUCCUUUCCUUCAAAUAAAGCCGAAAGUUUAAAUCCCUUGGAAACAUCUUUCAUCACAAUCACGGCCUGUGACGGAUUUGAAAAUAACCAAACGUUACCAAACAACGAUGAAGAAUUUUCGACAGUUCAUCGGAAUUUGCGGAUUCAAGAUGCUUUUGGCUUUUCUAGGACUCCUGACUGUGUUGUACCUACUGACUUACAGCUCAACAAACAUCCUGAAGUUUCGUCAACUGAUCUCAACAGUCUGGUCACAACGCACUUCAGACCAAAACGUUACAACAGCUUACUACUUACUUCAGUGGCAGUCAAAUUAUACACUAAAACAUUCUAGCACUAACUCCACGUUUAAGUACAAUGGGACAGCUACUCAAAGACCGUGUUGCCGAGAACAUUCUUCAACAACAUAUUACCUACGUCACUUCCGAUCGAGAUUUAUAGUUGAUCCUACCAGCCAUCAACUGACGCUUGAUCAAAGGAACCUCCCUGAUUUAUCCUUCUCUAAAGUAAGGACUGACAGUAGAGCCUCUGCUGUUAACAAUAAGUUGAUUGUAUGGUAUAACAUGCCUGAGUGGAUGAAAAGAAGGUCGAAUGCUGAGGUGUUUGACCACUGUCCAGUCAGCACGUGCAAGUUGUCCACAAACUAUAGUGCGGAUAGAGCCGUUGGCGACGCUGUGGUGUUUCACGACGCUCCAUCACACAAGCCAGUGCCACCUCGAGCUUUUCCUGACCAGGUGUACGUCUUCUUCAUGUUAGAACCGCCGCCGAUUGCUGGAUCUGCGUAUCGAAACACACCGUGGAACUCAGUUUUCAAUUGGACAUGGACCUACAGGAAGGAUGCCGAUAUAAAGAAGACAUACUUCCUUCUGGAGCGUUCUCGACAGUUGCCAAAUAUUAGUUUCCUAAAAGAUUUAGUUCGAAGGAAGGAAAAGCCUGCAGCAUGGUUUGUUUCUAACUGCCAUCAGGACCAAGCCCAACGACUACGCUACGUUGAGAGACUGAAGGAAGUUCUCCCUGUGGACGUAUAUGGACGAUGUGGGACUCUGCACUGCACAACCUGGGCUAAAGAAUGCGACACCAUGCUUACCAAGUACUUUUUCUAUCUUUCCUUCGAGAACUCCUUUUUCCAGGAUUACGUGACAGAGAAGUUUUCUCGAGCCUUCUUGAAGGAUGUGUACGUGGUUCCUGUUGCGCGCGGUGGGCUGAACUACUCUCACCACUUUCCUGAAGGAACUUUUAUUAACGCCGAUGAUUUUAACAGCCCAGAAGAACUGGGGAUGUAUCUGAAAAAGCUUAUGAUGGACGAAGACGCCUACAUUGACAUGUUGUGGCGAAUCGCUCAUUUUAUCAUCGAAUCUUACGAUGAUCCUGCCCAGUUCUCGUGGUGCCAGCUGUGUGACAAGCUACACAGGCUGCAGGACAAUGCCAAGACGUAUCCAGACCUCUUUGAAUGGUACCACAGUGGUAAAUGCCGACCGCCAAGGCAAUUCUAGCGAUUACAUGAUCGAACAGUGUGUGGCAUGUGUGAAUGAACGAGCGACGUGGACUCUACUGCUUAUUUCAUUCGUUUAGACAACUGGUCAGAGUCAACAGGCAGCUAAACUACUCGACCUUUUCAUCGUCAAGUGACGUCUCGACCAAAGCAAACAGAUGACAGACAGAAAUGCCAUCGUUGACAGAUAUUAAUGCUAAUAAAUUAGUCGCUAGUAUCAUUAUUUUUACUUUUAAUUAACUGGUCUUCACAUCGGACGUUGUUAAUGUCCUUUCGAGUUUGUUAGUGGUUUGGUGAUAUUUUCUAUAUUCAAGACUGCAGUUUCGGAAAUACAACUGUUGGUACACAAGCAACAACGAAGCUGAACCCUCCGACGCCAUUUUACUCAUGACGUAAAACUUGAAUGACGACAGAUGGGUACAAUAAUAGCCAAAGGAAACAGAAAGUUCUCGAAAGAUCAGUCGAUGUGCAGCAAGAGAGGGAGAAAGAGGGAGAGGUCUGCGCCAGCAACUUGAUUUCAUCACAAGCACGAUCUGCGAAGGGGUGAAUCUUCGCAAGUUCACCAGAACUCGGAGACACAAGAUGUGUUUGGUUUUUCUGGUACUCCUGAUUGCGUUGCUUUCAACUGGACAUGGGGUUACAGGCAUGACGCAGAUAUAAGAACGACAUACUUUUAUCUGGAACAUUCCAAGCAGUUGCCAAAUAUUAGUUUCCUAAAAGAUUUAGUUCAAAAGAAGGAAAAGCCUGCGGCAUGGUUUGUUUCUAACUGCCAUGAGGACCAAGCCCAACGACUACGUUAUGUUGAGAGACUGAAGGAAGUUCUCCCUGUGGACGUAUAUGGAGCGUGUGGGACUCUGCACUGCACAACCUUGGCUAAAGAAUGCGACACCAUGCUUACCAAGUACUUUUUCUAUCUUUCCUUCGAGAACUCUUUUUGCCAGGAUUACGUGACAGAGAAGUUUUCUCGAGCCUUCUUGAAGGAUGUGUACGUGGUUCCUGUUGUGCGCGGUGGGCUGAACUACUCUCACCACUUUCCUCAAGGAAUUUUUAUCAACGCCGAUGACUUUAGCAGCCCAGAAGAACUGGGGAUGUAUCUGAAAAAAGCUGAUGAACGACGAAGACGCCUACAUUGAAAUGUUUGUGGCGAAUCGCUCACUUUGUCGACUUGGACUCUUACAAAAACCCAUACUACUACUCGUGGUGCCAUCUGUGUGACAAGCUACACAGGCUGCAGGACAAUGCCAAGACUUAUCCAGACGUCUAUGGAUGGUACCACAUUGGGAUGUGCCGACCGCCAAGGAAAUUCUAGAGCUUGGUACAGUUCGUGGCCUACACUGGUUAUCGUGCGAUGUGGUCACAACUUUUUUCUUUUAUUCGUUCAGACGGCUGAACAGGCAGAUGUACAACUCGACCUUUUCAUCAAAUAUAAAUAACAAAUGGGCAAAAGCAAGGCGCAAUAUCUUUUUUCUAUUUCUUUACAAGCUGCACUCAUUACCAGCAUUUCAAAUAGGAAAGAAAAAUGAUGUUGCCAUUGAUCAAAGGGAAAAAACUCAAGAAAUAACGAUUCAUCGCGACAACCGCCAAUUUACUUCCCUUGGAAUAUGAAGCGAGCAUUACCGUCUACUUUGCUUAAUCACAUUUUUUGCUAUGAAACCGUCUUAAAUUUUUUUUUUUUAUUUUAACGAAUUUCCCUACUUGUGGCCUCAAACUGUUUUAAGAAAGUACUUUUACUUGCUUUAAGGCUAUCGAAAUUAGCAAUCAUUGAUACACUUCUCUUGAAGAUGACAAAGAAUAUAAAAUAAAAGAAAUUGAAGUGUCA